rnacentral:rRNA from 1 species
UACGUAGGUGACCAGCGUUGUCCGGAUUUACUGGGCGUAAAGAGCGCGCAGGCGGUCGUUCAAGUCAAGUGUGAAAGCCCCCGGCUCAACUGGGGAGGGUCACUCGAUACUGAUCGACUUGAAGGCAGGAGAGGGAAGCGGAAUUCCCGGUGUAGUGGUGAAAUGCGUAGAUAUCGGGAGGAACACCAGUGGCGAAGGCGGCUUCCUGGCCUGUUCUUGACGCUGAGGCGCGAAAGCUAGGGGAGCAAACGGG